CUACGGGCGGCUCCAGUGAGGAAUAUUGCACAAUGGGGGGAACCCUGAUGCAGCAACGCCGCGUGGAGGAUGACGCAUUUCGGUGUGUAAACUCCUUUUAUAUGUCAGGAAAAUGACGGUAGCAUAUGAAUAAGCACCGGCUAACUCCGUGCCAGCAGCCGCGGUAAUACGGAGGGUGCAAGCGUUACUCGGAAUCACUGAGCGUAAAGGACGCGUAGGCGGGUUGGAAAGUCAGGUGUGAAAUCCUACAGCUUAACUGUAGAACUGCACUUGAAACUUCUAAUCUAGAGUAUGGGAGGGGGAGAUGGAAUUAGUGGUGUAGGGGUAAAAUCCGUAGAUAUCACUAGGAAUACCUAAAGCGAAGGCGAUCUCCUGGAACAUUACUGACGCUAAGGCGUGAAAGCGUGGGGAGCAAACAGGAUUAGAUACCCGCGUAGUC
rnacentral:rRNA from 1 species